ACAUGUACAUGGAUAUGAAAUGAAUACUCAAUUGAGUUUACUUUACUUUUUGAUGCUUGUGUGAUCCAUUUUCACCCAACAUCUGGUACCCACCGUUUGUAUGUGCUCCCACGACCAUAGGACAACAAUGGCUAGAAACACGAAGAAAAUAAUAUACCCAAUGAAACUAAAGAUGGCCUACCAAGAAACGAUGGAGAGCAAGGUCUCAACCAAAUGAAGCAAGGACUCACAGACCCAAGUGCCUC
rnacentral:lncRNA from 1 species